GUAGAAAUUCAUCUCACCAUCAGGAUCUGCAAUUGUUGGGAAAAGAUUCUUCAGGAAAAUACCAACAGAGAGUGGUUGCAGCCAUGCUUCAUCAGGAAUCCCUUUGAGUCCAAUGGUGGAUGAUCUCUCAGAUUCUAACACCAGCUUCCUUUACUACUUCUGGCUCCGGAAUGAGACGGCUGGUUGACUAUAAUUUCUUAAACAUGUUAUAAUAACUCCAGGAAGAGUUGGCUUUCACCUUCCUCUUUCAACUGUCCAAGACAUGGAAAGAGAUUCCCAAAGACCUGUUCAUUCAUGCUGCUGAAAAAUAAUUCCAAAAAGCUUCAACCUGCUUCAAAAAAAAAAAAAAAUCAAAUCUAUUCUCAAAUGAAGAUUUUCAAUCCUUAAAUCUAAAGAACCAAUUGCAGACCUGAAAGUAAUUCAACAGAAACAAUGACACUCAUUUGUUUUUGUUUUUGCAUU
rnacentral:lncRNA from 1 species